rnacentral:ncRNA from 1 species
GAGAGCCAAAUGAAUCGAAAGGUUCAUGUUUGGUUCUCUACCAAUUGGGUCGUUGCGAUUACGGAUUGGGUGUCUAAUUGUCC